rnacentral:rRNA from 1 species
CACGUAGGGUGCGAGCGUUGUCCGGAAUUAUUGGGCGUAAAGGGCUCGUAGGCGGUCCGUCACGUCGGGAGUGAAAACUCGGGGCUUAACCCCGAGCCUGCUUCCGAUACGGGCGGACUAGAGGUAGGUAGGGGAGAACGGAAUUCCUGGUGUAGCGGUGGAAUGCGCAGAUAUCAGGAGGAACACCGGUGGCGAAGGCGGUUCUCUGGGCCUUACCUGACGCUGAGGAGCGAAAGCGUGGGGAGCGAAUAGG